CGUUUCCUGUGGGCCAGAGGAAGGAGAAGAAGAAACUAUGUUGGGACAGAAGAAAGAGAAAAAUCAGGUUAGAAGGUGAAAAGUUAGGAAAAACACUAUGUUUAUUUAUGUAGAUAAGGUAGCUUGUUCGGGAGGGUUCCUCUCCUGGUCGCAGCAGGGGCCGGAGACCGCUGGCCGGCCGCUCGGGUUGCGGCCUCGUGGUGGUUGUGGGCGUCGGGGGUCGCGGGUCGGAAGGAUGUGCGAGUUCUCGUCCUCUGCUUGCGGGCGAGCCCUCCUCUUGGGCUCACGCGGGCGCGGUGGGACUCGGCGGUGGCCCCCUUCGAGGGCGGCGAGCGGCCGCUGCACGUCCUAGGGCGCUGGGGUUGCGGCGGCGAGACGGACGGAGGAGAGAGAGAUAAAGAAGGAAGGGAAGAAGAGACCAAGAGAGAGAGUAUAAAGAGAGAGAAGUGACAGGGCAUCGUCCUUGUCGGCGACCGCGAGCAGGGGCUGGUUGAGGCCACGGGACCGGAGUGGCGGUUUCGACCCUCGGUAGGGGUGGCCGGCCUAGACUACGCGUCGGUGGAGCGACAACGCGGCGGUAGUGGGGACGUUGCCUAGUAGGGCGGGAGGUGGAGAAAAAGCAGCCCCUCUGCUGCUUGAGCAGGAGCUCGCAACUGGCGCGCGGGCGCAAGCACCCGACGUAGGUGCCCGCUAGCUAGUGGCGGAGUACAUGCGGCGGCCCGCAGCCUGAUUAAAAGUAUUCGAAGUAAGUAUACACUGUAGUCCUUCGAAGUUUUUUGUCCUCUUCACGUUCUUUUGCAGCGGGGUUUGUUUAGCGUUGAACGGUCGGAGGCGUUGUCGGCAGUCUUGGUACCGAGUGUCUGCGGACGAGGCGCCUAGCCGCCUAGGAAGGGACCACGGUACGAAGUCGCCGAACACGACGAGCCAUAGGGAGCAGGUUUAUUAGCCAUACAGACAAGUUUUUUUUUUAGCCAUACACAGGAAGGACGCCGAUGUGGAAGUCCUAAAAGUGGCGGUGGUACGAAGCCUCCGAACGACAACAAGAACAGGAGAAACGACGACACGCGUUCGCGUGGAUGCGUAUAUACCAAGACCGGGUCCCUCGUGUUGAGAGAUUGAGACCGGGAAGACAGCAACUAGAUCUAUUCGUCGUCCUCAUAAAGUAUCUAGUGCCUGGGGUACAUCAGACUGCAAGUUCCUCCCUUAGACCGAGUCCUACGGACACAGGUAUAACAUGAAAACUAUAGACUGAAAGUAUAACAUGAUACUACUAGCACCUAGAACACACGUAUAACAUGAAAACUACUCGAUGUGAAAAUUCCUUAGACUAAAGUCCUCAGACUACCAGUCCAUUCACAAUUACACAAUAAAUCACAAUCAAAUCACGUCGACGAGGGGACUCCGGGACUGACCGAAGAAUCGAGGGAGAGGUGAAUGGACAGUCGACCCGCACAACUAAGCUAGAAAACUAGACCUUUUUAACUGUGUGAUCCUGCAUGUGUUUUUGAAAUUCCAAUCAAGCAUGUACUAACUUAGAAGAGGCACGUUUUUGACUGUUAUGUGUUUAACAUCGUUUUAGUUACUCCUCGACUUAGACGUCAGAAGGGAAUGGCGGGUCAUCAAGGGUUAAAUAAAAACCUAAAAAUAACAAUAAACCAUUCGUAUCGUGGACUAAAUGUCACUUCACGUAGAUAGUUAAAUUAACAAACUGGCAAUUAUGUGUCAUGUAGGCACAGGUACAGCAGUUGCACAACGAGCGGCUGGCAUGACAAGAGCUCUAGGCGGAACUUCUGCCACCUAGCCCGGAAGUCGUGUGUAGCAAGCAAUCGUAGAGGCGGACUACGAAGAUAUCCUUCUCUCUGGGGGUAUGAAUAUAAAAAUUAGGUGUACCUAUCAUGUUAAAAAAAAUUAGGUGUACCUAUCAAGACAUCUUUUUAACAAUAAAACAUCAGAAGAAUUGAACCGAUUACUUAUAGGUGAGAAGUAUACUGUUCUUCACGUACUUGAACCGAUUACAAAUCCCCGUAUUCGUACUAGUACAGUUUUCACGUAUGUUCGUAGUACAUUAAUACAAGAAUGUCUCUAUUGUAAGUCAAAUCAUUAGAGAGAACCGACUCCCUAAACUGAUGGGAAGUAGUCUCGCACAAUCUCGAUACCUAUGACUUGAGCGUUCUAAGGAAAAAACAUACAGGCGUCCCUUCACAACUGAUGAACUUGUACGACCUUUCACAACUGAUGAACCUCAUUGAACGUUCAUUGUCUACAAAACUGUUGUUAUUGACGAUGGUUACUCCUGGUGACCGUUCUAUAUCGUGUUGUUGGACCAGGGACAAGGCAUUUCCAACCGGACUAGGGACAACUUUAGUUAAACCGCACCAUGUAAUCAACAUAACAAGUGGGACGUACAAAAAAAAGUGAAAGGAUUUCAUACAAACUCAUAUCGAAUACCAAAUAAAUAUUCGAACACUCAAUUAAUUUCGAGUGAACCACCAAGAUUGAUUAAUAUGAUUUUAUACUGGUACUGGCUUUCUAUCUACCUCCAAGUCUACGUCUCACUUUCGGACGUGGUUGUUCAACAUCAACAUAUACCUUGGACCGCUGAACUACUAACGUCGCGUCGUCUGGUGAUUCCGAUCCGAGGAUUCGAACGAUUAAACCCGCAGACCUUGGAAUUCUUAUUUCCUGUCCGCAUGAGCCCGGCUCUAGUUGUCCGUGCCAGCACUACCCGUACAUGCUCACGCCGCCGGGUGACCUGCCUGUUCCCUGGUCCGACCUUCAACAAAAAGUAUAAACAAAUGAACAGUUUAUCAGGGUGGAACGAUAAAAUGUAAUUAAAAAUGGUCAAAUAUAUGUUAAAAAUCCAACAGUCCGUAGUUCUUCGACGAAACCUUUAAUUCGUUUCUUUAUUUCUUUCCUUUAUCUGUAAGAAACGUACUCUUUAUUUCUUCCUUCUACCAUUAAUACACCUCGGCCGUUCUUUCCAUUAUACAUAACUUAUUCUUUAUUUCUUCCUUCUUUUAGCUACCAUUAAUACACCCACGGUAUAAUUAGCGUACUCAUUAAUCGUCCGGAUCGUUUUUUCCUUUUUUAUUAACGUACUUUUUAUUUCUUCCUUCCUCUUUCUCUCUCCUUCCUUUACCUGCCAUUAAUACACCCGUAGUACUAUAUUCCUUUCUUUCUCUUUCUUUUUGAUUAAUUGUCCUCCACGCCCUUAGUUACCGUCCAACGGUACGGUAGAAUACUCAUUUUUACUACACCGUAAAAAAUUAGGAGUGAUUUAAGUACAGUAAAAAAAGAAGGUAAUACAAAAGGAACGAGAAUAUUAGAAAUGAUUUAAACGCGGUUUAAACAUCGUGUAACUUGUAAUACAAACGUGUAUGUUAGGAGUGAUUUAAAUACAGUUUACAAAGUUGGCAAGAUUGGGUGUCCGUAUAUAUCAUAAAAAUUAUAUAUUUACCUCCAUAUUAUAAUAACCAGGAGGGUAAAGCAUACAGGUACCACAAAGGAGUAUAACUCGAUCCGAUAAGAUGAUUAGCAGACAGAACCCGGUGAACCGGAGACGGUGCAAGCGGGCGCAUUACAAGGUGGUCAUUUUUCUUGGCCACGGGAGGGUUGUACAGGCACGCUGGACCGGGUUGUUUAGUUUGGGUGGUGGGGAAAAUCCUCUACUCCGUUUUUUAUCAACUGGCAAUGACCUUAUUUUGAGUGUUGGAGGUCACACAAAACCGCAACUAGCACAAUGGGAUGUCUUUUCACAACUAGUAAAAUUUUAUUUUAAUUUAAAUCAAAAACAAACCCAGGAAGUGCCUAACCAUGAUUUGAUUAUACUACAUUUUGGUCUAUUGUAUUUGUGUUCCGUGUUCAUAAAGUAACACAUCUACACCCAGUACACCGGCCCUAGAGUUUGCGCUCGCAAGCGACCAGACAGGUACGUCCACUACGUUAAGAAAUAACCAAGGUUCGAAUGCACCUUACAAGUGGCACAUCACCUGUAGCAAUGGCUGUUACUACUGUUUCUUUUCUUCACCAUUGUCCCUACCCCCGCGAUCCCCACUAUUAAAUAAAGAGGGCAACGUGAAAACGAUCAGAAUUAUUUCGUGCCUAACUGAAACAGCCUAAGUGGCAGUGUUACGCGAAAGAAACUUAAAUGCGAAAAUCAAAUUUAAAUUUUAUAUAUAGGCUCCACCAUGAUUAGAUAGCGCCCUCGGUUGCUAGCUAGCGAUCGAGCGGUGCGUCCUAACUGACGGUCUACCCGGAAACGAUGAUCUACCCGGCCGGUCUGACACAGGUUGAAAUGCAAAUGGAACACAGGUACGGGUUUUAUACGGCGGCCGGGGCUGAGGAGGUUGCGAGCGGCGGUACCGGCUCCUAUGCCAUGUGCUCGUGCCUCCGCCUACCCUAUCACACCAUUAACCGCGGAGGGUCGUCGUCUCUCGCGCUCUCUAAAUCAUCGACUGGUAGUGCGGUUCCCUACGUUCGUUGUUGCAGUGGGUUCACGGGUACUGCCGCUCACCCUACUCUUUCCCCGAUGUUUUCGCAGCCUCAACCUCCGCGCCACCGACCCUUUUCUCGGUCGCCCUCUGCCUCUCCGAGUGGCCUCCUGUGCGCGCCGCCGCGCCAGCGCACACUCCGCCGGCCGAUGUCCUCGCACGUCCGCCGCGAGCCCGUGACCGCUGCGGUACCAGAAGACCGCUCCGCCCGCUCGUGCAUGUACUUCCGGCGCCCCCCGUGCGACGGACCCGCUCUCCCCUCCGCGCUUCCUCCGCCAGCAGCGGCCACCGCCCCGGCCUACGCAGUCUACGCGCGCGAACGGACGUCAGUUGCGUCUGUCUGUAUCGCCGGUAGGUACCGUCGCUCGCCGAGGCCCCCGCCGCUGCCCCAACCCACCAAGUUCGCCGGCGAAGACGUCGAUGUACCCUCUGCAGGUCCUCACUAAAUCAUCCUACAGCUGGGAUUUGAUACCUUUCGUUCGUAGGUUACCUCUUCACAACAAGACUUUUUACCCAAGUAUUGAAAAGUAUACGAUUUGACUUUGGUACGUAUAAACUUAUCGUCCUAAUCUCCCCAAAAAAUAAGUCUUAGAUCUCAAACAGGCCGUAACGUAGUAGUUCAUUUUCUAACAUCAAACAUAAGGAGUACAGACGACGUGAACGUCCCAGUCUCAACCAACGGUAGGGGACCUGUCCCGCGAGAUCCCGCACAACCGCACGAACUCAUCUGCUUUGUGACUACAAUCGACGUUCCACCUCUUCCUUAUGGGGUACCUACCUAAAACCAUCGAGACUACUGUUGUCAAAGUUGAAUCAUUCAGUAUACGACUAUAAGUAUACUGACACUAGAGCCUUUAUUUUCAAGUAUCCUUUCAUUGUCUUUGGAAGUGACUUGUAUCUCAACACAACAUAGACAUGGCUCUUUUCAAACAUCUCAUACUUUUAUACAAAGCUCUGCUUUGUUUAAUACUAAUAAUCAGUAUCGUCAACAUCCUUGUCUACUUUUAACAUAACGGCCAAAAUCGUCCACACGACCACGAGUGUACGAAUAGGUAACACUAUACCCAAACGUCCAGGUUUCCGUGUCGUAUGAUACGAGUACGUAUACACUGUAUUUGGUUAAGAUGUAAUACGUCGAGUGUUUGUGAUGUUUUAAUGAUCCCGAUCCUCUAAACACGUGAAUACUUCCAAAAACCUGUGCUUCCAAAACUUAAAAGUGAUAAUUCGAAGUUUCUACAAUGUAGAUAAUUGGACAUGAGUAUAAUCCGGUUGCAACAGGUUAUAACGACCCCCUAAAAGGGAAAAAAAUGUUUAGUAUUAGUCAGACAUUGGACCCGCACAUGCUUUCAACAGACGUGAAAAAAGACAAAUUAGACCCGCAGGUUAGAAACAUUCGACCCGAAAUGGACAUGAAAUAGUAUGCCUUUGGUUAAUUUACUUUUGACAAACUAAGUUACAAACGGUCAGACACAAAUUAAGAGACAAACGAGGGACAAACUAAGUUUAGGUA
rnacentral:rRNA from 1 species